rnacentral:rRNA from 1 species
UACGAAGGGGGCUAGCGUUGCUCGGAAUCACUGGCGUAAAGGGGUGCGUAGGCGGGUUUUUAAGUCAGAGGUGAAAUCCUGGAGCUCAACUCCAGAACUGCCUUUGAUACUGAAAGUCUUGAGUAUGGGAGAGGUGAGUGGAACUGCGAGUGUAGAGGUGAAAUUCGUAGAUAUUCGCAAGAACACCAGUGGCGAAGGCGGCUCACUGGCCCAUAACUGACGCUGAGGCACGAAAGCGUGGGGAGCAAACAGG